rnacentral:rRNA from 1 species
AUUGAACGCUGGCGGCAGGCCUAACACAUGCAAGUCGAACGAGUGGCGGACGGGUGAGUAAUGUCUGGGAAACUGCCCGAUGGAGGGGGAUAACUACUGGAAACGGUAGCUAAUACCGCAUACCAUCGGAUGUGCCCAGAUGGGAUUAGCUAGUAGGUGGGGUAACGGCUCACCUAGGCGACGAUCCCUAGCUGGUCUGAGAGGAUGACCAGCGACACUGGAACUGAGAGACGGUCAAGCCUCCUACGGGAGGCAGAAGUGGGGAAUAGUGCAAAAUGGGCGCAAGCCUGAUGCAGCCAUGCCGCGUGUAUGAAGAAGGCCUUCGGGUUUUACAGGACUUUCAGCGAGGAGGCGUUACUCGCAGAAGAAGCAACGGCUCACUCCGUGCCAGCAGCCGCGGGAAUAC